AGGAGUGAAGCUGCUCUCUGAUCUACUGAAGGAUCCACACUGUAAACUGGAGACACUACAAAUUAAGCAUUGUUUCCUCACCAGGUUUGGUGUAUGACAGGAGUCUCUCCUCAGACCUUUUUCCAGGAUAAAUCAGUUAUGGUGGUGAAGCGUUAUAAUAUGUCCCAUAUUUCCAGCAGUCAUUCAUAUUCAGAUGUAGAAGACCCAUAACAAUAACUGUGACUGAUCACAUCCUUUUAUCCUCUCAGCUACAACUUCACACUUUAACAUAUUUUACAAUAUGGGUCUAUGAGAUUUGCAAAUCAUUGCAUAUGGUUUUUAUGUACAAUUGGCAGUGUCUCGAUUUUCUUUGGAAUAGGGGUUGUAUAAAAUGAUGGAAAUGAAAUAAUGGAUAUGAGAUUUUUUGAAAUUAGGGAAUGUGAAUAUAAAUGUAUGUGAAUUUAAAGUUGAGACAAUCUCCCCUGGUAUAUGCCCACUCCUAGCCACCAGAGGGAGCCCUCUAGAGGAAUAAUCUACAUGGGUCAGUUGACGCUUCCUCAAUACUUUGGUAAAAUGGUUUAAUUUACCGCAUGCAAUGUUCCUUGUUUAAAUGAGUAUCUGUAUUGUUGUGGUCAUGUUUCUGUGGUGGUUCUAGUUAACUUUGAGGUAAUAAACCAAAUCAACAUAUCAACUAAUGAGAAGAGGAAUAAAGUCCCAGCACUUAGCUAGACUAUUCAAAGCAAAUGGCUAUAAUUUAUUAAUGUUUUUACUACAUUUUUUAACUAACCUAUUAACAUUUAGCAAACAUUCCUGGCAGUGACUUAAUUAUCUAACUUUCAUAUAACCCAGAAAAUUCCCUCUGUUCAAAAGUUUAUAUUUGUUUCAGUACUUAAAUCACUUUAUUCUAGAGUAUUUUUUGUCAAUGUUUUUUUCUUCCAAAAAUAAAUGUAAACAAAAUCAAAUUAAAACUACAAACAAAAAAAAAUCA